rnacentral:rRNA from 11 species
UUCAACUCUUGUACAUUUUUAAAUCACCAGAUGCCACCUGAUUUUGGAAGUGAAACAGAGUUAGUCCCAGUUAGUAUUUGGAUGGGAAACCAGGAACAAAUUCCAGGUGGUGUAGGUU